UAUGUGAUCGUCUCUCGCAUAUCAAUAAGCGGAGGAAAAGAAACUAACAAGGAUUCCCCUAGUAACGGCGAGCGAAGCGGGAAGAGCUCAAAUUUGAAAUCUUAAAGGGUUUCCCUUUACGAAUUGUAGUUUAAAGAAGUGUUUUCUGUUGAGGUUUUGGUAAAAGUUCUUUGGAAUAGGACAUCAUAGAGGGUGAGAAUCCCGUAUUUGACCUUUACUUUCAACUUUGUGAUACGCUUUCAAAGAGUCGGAUUGUUUGGGAAUGCAGUCCAAAAUGGGUGGUAAAUUUCAUCUAAAGCUAAAUAUUGGCGAGAGACCGAUAGCGAACAAGUACCGUGAGGGAAAGAUGAAAAGAACUUUGAAAAGAGAGUUAAACAGUACGUGAAAUUGUCAAAAGGGAAGCGUUUGACACCAGUGUUGUUUUUCUGAAAAUCAAUUAAAGAACUGUUUAUGCUAAGUUGUUUAGACUUUAUCAGCUAACUGUUUAGUUUUGAGCUUUUCUUUAAUGCACUUUUCAGUUAACAAGUCAACAUCAAUUUCUUUUGCUGUAAAAAAGCUUGAGGAAGGUGGCUUGAGAUUCGUCUUAAGUGUUUAUAGCCUCUUGCCUAUGCAGUCGGAGAGAUUGAGGUCUGCAGCGUAGAUCCUUCGGGGCUAAAUGCAUUUGUGCUAAGUUAUAGCAUUUUAUAGACAACUUGUUGACUAUGAUUUGUCUUGUAGCUUACUCGCUUAUGUUAUUUUACCUACGCUUAGGAUGUUGACUGAUAUGUAGUCGUA
rnacentral:rRNA from 1 species